rnacentral:lncRNA from 1 species
GCAGGGGGCUGGUCUCUCUCAACUCCUAGUGCUGGGAUACUGUCCAUAGGUCAUCAUCCUGGCCCUUCCUUUCCCCCUCAGACACGACAGCGCGGCCUCAGUCCUUCCCACCAUCGGGUUUUUGUGGCCUCACCAUGGUCGUCAUCAUACUGCACCUUCUCACGGCAUUCGACUCCCCUCUCUCUUCUCAUGGAAACCCCUUUCCGGGGUUCUGGCACUGUAGCCCUGCCUUCCAGAUUGCUCCUCCCUUUCACCACCCCCCACCCCCCAAAACACACACUCUUGGCAUUCUUCCCUCUCCCCUUUGUAUGUGUGCUGGUGCACCAAAGGAUUCCGAGCCAAUUAGACAGCGCUACGGUCACGAGGACCAAGAGACUCACUGACCUCUGUCCUCGGACGUCACCUGUAGGACUGUGCUCCGGGCGGACCAGCUGGGCCAGAGACGGUGGAAUUGGUGUCGCUUUGCUGGGAUCUGCUUCCCGGUGUGACCGUGUGGCAUCGCUGCUCAGACAGUUUGGAAAGCCCCAGCUCACGUCCUGUGCUUUUCAGGGGGGCAGAUGGGCAGAAAUAAAGCUCCCGAAGGUCUCCCACGAGGGGACAUUGGCCCGGUUGCAAAGCCACAGACAAACGCUCCCACAGGGCAGCGCCCCGACCGUCCCUACGCGCCCUCUCGGCUGCCCCCGAGGGACCCUCAUCCUGCCUGGUGUGAGGACAGUGGGCCAACAGGUCAGGGCUCAAACCCAGGCCCCCGUGACUCCAAAGGCCUGGCUCUCUCACCGCGGUGUGCACCGAUGGACUGGGCACAACGUCCACGUUUUCACACCCAUUGAAAUGCGACCCCUCUCAGAUGAGCUUGUGCUGCUCAGGAUUAGAUUAACUCCACUGUUCCUUGUCCAAGGGUUUCUUUUGCGAGGCUCUCCUCGGCCCGUGGGUCUCAGGCUUCCCUCGGAAAAGAGAGGAAUAAAGGCCAGGUCUGGAGACACAACUCUUCCCUUUGAAAUUGAGACUUUAGAAAAAAAAAAAACAGCCAAGAAAAAAAGAUGCCUUUUCCCCUCGGGGGUGAGUGAACCACUGGCAGGAGCCCGGUGUGUGGGGUCGGAUGGGUCCGGAGGACGCUGUUGUCCACAGGACACUGUGGCACGUACCUUCAUGGCCACAUUUCCCCUCCGCGCGCCCGCCUUAGCCCGUGACAGCGUCACCUCGGCUUAGCCCGGGUGAGGCAGGUGGGGCCUCUGAGAGGACACAGCGCAGCCCCCAGGACUGUUGGACCUGGUUGUGUGUCCACCUGGCAUAUGGAGAUGGGAAGGAAACCGUGACCUUGAACAGCCCGAUUUACCCUGACUUUAACGAAGCAGCUCUUUGCCACAAAGCACCGUCGUGGUUACUUGGCUCUGUUUCAAUAGAUCAUGUCACCCUUUCCUCUCGGAGAUGUUACAAAGCUGUUGUGGACAAGGGUCCAGAGCCCAGUUUUACAAGUUCAUUGCUUAGAGGUGCAACCGUGCAUUGGCUCAGCUAAUGCUCAAAUCUUUGGAG